rnacentral:tRNA from 1 species
GGGGGUGUAGCUCAGUUGGGAGAGCGCUUGAAUGGCAUUCAAGAGGUCGCAGGUUCGACUCCUGUCAUCUCCA